CCUACGGGAGGCAGCAGUAGGGAAUAUUGCUCAAUGGGGGAAACCCUGAAGCAGCAACGCCGCGUGGAGGAUGACGGUUUUCGGAUUGUAAACCUCUUUUUUUAGAGAAGAUAAUGACGGUAUCUAACGAAUAAGCACCGGCUAACUCCGUGCCAGCAGCCGCGGUAAUACGGAGGGUGCAAGCGUUACUCGGAAUAACUGGGCGUAAAGGGCGCGUAGGCGGGCUAGCAAGUCAGAUGUGAAAUCCUAUGGCUUAACCAUAGAACUGCAUUUGAAACUGGUAUUCUAGAGUAUGGACGAGGUAGGUGGAAUUCUUGGUGUAGGGGUAAAAUCCGUAGAGAUCAAGAGGAAUACUGAUUGCGAAGGCGACCUGCUAGAACAUAACUGACGCUGAUGCGCGAAAGCGUGGGGAGCAAACAGGAUUAGAUACCCUAGUAGUC
rnacentral:rRNA from 1 species